AUACCUACGGGGGGCAGCAGUGAGGAAUAUUGGUCAAUGGGCGCGAGCCUGAACCAGCCAAGUCGCGUGAGGGAAGACGGUCCUAUGGAUUGUAAACCUCUUUUGUCGGGGAGCAAAAGACGCCACGUGUGGCGUUCCGAGAGUACCCGAAGAAAAAGCAUCGGCUAACUCCGUGCCAGCAGCCGCGGUAAUACGGAGGAUGCGAGCGUUAUCCGGAUUUAUUGGGUUUAAAGGGUGCGUAGGCGGAAGAUAAAGACAGCGGUAAAAGGGAGAGG
rnacentral:rRNA from 1 species